rnacentral:rRNA from 1 species
GGGUUGUGAGGUUAAGCGACUAAGCGUACACGGUGGAUGCCCUGGCAGUCAGAGGCGAUGAAGGACGUGCUAAUCUGCGAUAAGCGUCGGUAAGGUGAUAUGAACCGAUAUAACCGGCGAUUUCCGAAUGGGGAAACCCAGUGUGUUUCGACACACUAUCAUUAACUGAAUCCAUAGGUUAAUGAGGCGAACCGGGGGAACUGAAACAUCUAAGUACCCCGAGGAAAAGAAAUCAACCGAGAUUCCCCCAGUAGCGGCGAGCGAACGGGGAGGAGCCCAGAGCCUGAAUCAGUGUGUGUGUUAGUGGAAGCGUCUGGAAAGGUGCGCGAUACAGGGUGACAGCCCCGUACACAAAAAUGCACAUGCUGUGAGCUCGAUGAGUAGGGCGGGACACGUGGUAUCCUGUCUGAAUAUGGGGGGACCAUCCUCCAAGGCUAAAUACUCCUGACUGACCGAUAGUGAACCAGUACCGUGAGGGAAAGGCGAAAAGAACCCCGGCGAGGGGAGUGAAAAAGAACCUGAAACCGUGUACGUACAAGCAGUGGGAGCA